AGCUAAUACUUGCUUUAGCACUCUUGAUUAAGUUCUUGAGUGUGUACUUGUUAAGCCUUUUAAGAAAAAAGUUAUUAACUUAAGGAAUUAUAACAAAGAAGCAACACGUAAAUGGAUUUUCCAUUUUUUAGUGUGUAUCAAUCGAGUUUCUGACCUAUCAGCUUUUGAUGUUAGGGUAUUGGCCUAACAUGGCUAUGACGGGUAACGGGGAAUUAGAGUUCGAUUCCGGGGAGGGAGCCUGAGAAAUAGCUACCACAUCUAAGGAAGGCAGCAGGCGCGUAAAUUACCCAAUUCUAAAGAAGAGAGGUAGUGACAAGAAAUAACAAUACAAGGCCAAUCUGGCUUUGUAAUUGGAAUGAUGGGAAUUUAAAACCUUCCCAAAACUCAAUUGGAGGCAAGUCUGGUGCCAGCAGCCGCGGUAAUUCCAGCUCCAAUAGCGUAUAUUAAAAUUGUUGCAGUUAAAACGCUCGUAGUUGAAUUUCAAAGAAUCGAUAUUUUAAGUAGCACUUUGUAGAUUAAUCCACAUAACUGAUACUACGUAUCGACUUUGUGCGCAUUUUUCUACUUAUGUGUUCUUUUAAUUAAAAUGAUUCUUUUUAAGAUCUUUCUUUUUUGCUUCGGCAUUUUAGGAGAUCUUGUUGCUUUGAGUAAAUUAGAGUGUUCAAAGCAAACAGAUUAUAGCAUCUUUAUGCGUUUGAAUACUACAGCAUGGAAUAACAAAAUUGAACAAGUCAGAAUUUUGUUCUUUUUUCUUAUUUUGGCUUAGUUACGAUUAAUAGGAGUAGCUUGGGGGCAUUUGUAUUCAGAUGUCAGAGGUGAAAUUCUUAGAUUUUCUGGAGACAAACAACUGCGAAAGCAUUUGCCUAAAAUACUUCCAUUAAUCAAGAACGAAAGUUAAGGGAGUGAAGACGAUCAGAUACCGUCGUAAUCUUAACCAUAAACUAUGCCGACUAGGCUUUGGAUGAAAGAUUUUAAAAUAAGAGUUUUUUCUCU
rnacentral:rRNA from 1 species